AUGGUGCUUAUCUCCUACUCCUACCACAGGGACUUGGACGGCACCGAGUUCCGCUUCCGCACUGUUUGUGAGGUCUAUGAGAUCAACUCCAAGGGCGCCUGGCGACCACCGGCGAGCAGCUCCGCACUGGGCAUGGUGAGAUUGGACAGUACGUCUGUCUUCGCGCAAGGCCACCUAUACUGGAGGGGGUUCGGGCGCCAGAACCCGAAGAUAAUCUCCUUCUCGCUCUCAGAUGAGGCUUUCGAGGUCUUGCCGCCGCCACCAUCCUGUCAUGGUAUAGACCAGCUUUACGGGCUGGCGGAGCUCGGGGGACACCUGUGCCUCUUCGGCACAGCUACCGAACCUGUACAACAACAUGACAUAUGGUUGUUGCGCGACCACGAGGCCGGUGUGUGGGAUCUACACUGCCGCAUAGACCUGAAUGCGGCGUGGCCGCUGGAGGUCAUGCAGUUCUCGAUAUGCCGGAGCAGCCCCAGCCCACUCGCCUUCAUCGACGAUGAUCGCCGCAUCCUGUUCAGGGUGUACUGCAAGUUGUCAAAAGAGGAAAGAUUCAAGAGCGCUUACAAACUUUAUGCGUAUAACCCUGCGACCGGCAAUGCCGAGAGCCUUGGCUUUCUCCCCCACAAGAGCACGCCACCCGAGUUGUAUGAGGAAAGUGUCGUCUCCACAGGUAGGCCAUUCGAAGACAUCGUAUCCUCAUCCGCGUCUCAAGAGGCGUAG
rnacentral:rRNA from 1 species